rnacentral:rRNA from 1 species
CCUACGGGAGGCAGCAGUGGGGAAUCUUGCGCAAUGGGCGAAAGCCUGACGCAGUGACGCCGCGUGGGUGAUGAAGCCCUUCGGGGUGUAAAGCCCUGUCGUGGGAGAAGAAAGUCCCGAGGCAUCGGGACCUGACGGUAUCCCACAAGAAAGCCCCAGCCAACUGCGUGCCAGCAGCUGCGGUAAGACGUAGGGGGCGAGCGUUGUCCGGAAUGACUGGGCGUAAAGCGCACGUAGGCGGUCGUGUAAGUUGGGGGUGAAAUCCCGCCGCUCAACGGAGGAACUGCCUCCAAUACUGCACGACUUGAGGGCAGGAGAGGAGAGUGGAAUUCCCGGUGUAGGGGUGAAAUCCUUUGAUAUCGGGAGGAACACCAGUGGCGAAGGCGGCUCUCUGGACUGCCCCUGACGCUGAAGAGCGAAAGCUAGGGUAGCGAACGGGAUUAGAUACCCCUGUAGU